GCUGGGCAUAUGGCACAUGCCUGUAGUCUUAGCUAUGCAGGAGGUUGAGAUAGGAGGAUCACUUGAGCCUGGGACUUCUGAAUUGUAGUGCACUAUGCCAGUCAGGUGUCCACCCUAAGAUUGGUAUCGAUGUGGUGACCUCUUAGGAGGAGGGGAUCACUAGCUUGCCUAAAGAGGAGAGAACAGAUCCAGGUCAGAAACAGAGCAGAUAAAAAACUUCUUUGCUGAUCAGUAGUGGAAUCAUGUCUAUGAGUAGCCACUGUACUCCACCAUGGGCAACACAGUAAAAUCUGGCUCUU
rfam:Otolemur garnettii contig039598, whole genome shotgun sequence.